rnacentral:lncRNA from 1 species
CCUCAGCCUCAGGGCCUCCCUCCCUCUUUCGGUAAGCUGUCACCCCCGACAUCCACUUGUUCAGAACCCCCUAGCUUUGGGACCCCCUGCCCCCUAUGGCGUGUCCUCCAGCACUCCAUUCCCGUCCCCUGCAGAGCUCAAGGCUGGGAACCGGCCCGCUGCUCAGAGUGUGGUCCUCGAUCGGCAGCAUCCGCUCACCUGUGAGCUGGCUAGAGAUGCAGAAUCGAGGAGGGGCUGCCCCAGACCUGCUGACUCAGAAUCUGCCCCUUGGCAAGAUCCCGUGUGGUUUGGGGUGCAUUCACAGUUUGAGGAGGACUCCGCUGACCACCCCAGGAGGCUGGAACCUCGCCAUCUUGCUCACCACUGUUUGUCCAGCCCCAGCCUAAUAGCUGCUCAACGAAUUUUGUUAAAUGAACACGGGAAUGAUUUAAGCAGUCCCCUGGAUCUCCCUUUUUGGAUCUCUUUCCUGCUCGCCCCGUGCCCUAGAACCAUUUCCGGCUUCUGAUGGACAGCAGGCCCCGGGGCCCACGCCCUUUCUUCACGCGGUUCAGAAGCGGGAGUUGCUGUUUCUCUCCUCGCGGUUUCUCCGCCUGGCCCUCCGCCUCCGCAGUCUCGUUUGUUCCUAGAGAAUGUCGUCCUUGGCCGGGUGGAGCAGGGGACGGACACUGACCUCCCUCCAGCUGUUUCAGCCGGAGUUUCUGUGAUGGAAGGCCGGUCCUCGGCUGGGCUCGAGGAGCAAGGCAGGACUCUGAGCCAGGACCACCACUCGCCUCCGUUCUGAGACAGGCGCGAUCUCUCCUCUUUCCAUUACUUUGGGAUGUGUAUUUAGAAACCACAAUGCCGAUCCUUUAGAGAACUCAGAGGGGCCAGGAGACCCCGGGAUUCCUCAAGGAGCUCGGCUGCCUGAUGCCGCCACAUCAUCCGUCCAAAGGGUGAGACUGGAGUAACGAGAAACAUCCUUUUCAACGAGUGAACAGCAGCUGGGCCGGGCAGGGCAGGCUGAGCGGCUCACAAUGACCACCUGACAGAUUAACUUCGUCACAGCUCUUCUGGCUCCGCUCCCUCCUCCUGCCUCUCUGCUCUAUAGAGAGUUCCUGCCCCCAGGGCCCCCUCAUCCUACAGGCAGCCCCUUAUCUGUGAUUUGCAGGUUUCUCCAUCCUUCCUAAGACACUACGUUCUGUUUUCUACCAGCAGCCCAUGGGGCCACGAGCUGUGCUGAGCAGCCCGGCCCACGGGCUCGCUCCUGGAGAGCUGAGGCUGCACCAGGCGAUGCUGCUGUCCUGGCCCUCCGGGCCACUGGAGAGCCUGUGACAGACACUGACUGCAGGGCUCCGUCCUUGCCUGGGGGCCCAGGGUCUUGGGGGGCGGUGAGGGGACCUGUGAAGUGUCACUUUGAGAAUGCCGUCCAGGCGAUUCUGAGGGGCAGGAGGGCUGGGGAGCCAGCAGCAGCCACUGUUGGUGGGAAACAUCACUCAUUCACAGACGACUUCGGAGGUGCAGGCACCUUGUCGGCUCAGGAAUUCCGAAACGGCUGUUGUGCUGUCAGUAGGGGGAAGGGCAGACAGAGGAGAGGGUAGUGGUGGUGUCUGCCCAUCUGCCUAUCUGUCCGUCUGUCUGGGCACUCAUCCACCCACCUGUCCAUCCAUCCAUCCACCCAUCCAUCCAUCUAUCCAUCAAACACCCUCAGAAGUUGACCUUGGCCACCAGAACAUCUUGCAUCUGGUGCAAUGUUUGCAUUCACCCCUAGGCAGCAAAUGGAAUAAAUGCAGUUUGUGGGAUUAAAGAAAGAAAUCUGCCUGCAUAGACCUGAAAGGACUGGAAGCCAGGUCUCCAAGAGAUG